CAGUCGCCGCGGGAAUACGGAGGGAGCUAGCGUUAUUCGGAAUUACUGGGCGUAAAGCGCACGUAGGCGGCUUUGUAAGUUAGAGGUGAAAGCCUGGAGCUCAACUCCAGAAUUGCCCUUAAGACUGCAUCGCUUGAAUCCAAGAGAGGUGAGUGGAAUUCCGAGUGUAGAGGUGAAAUUCGUAGAUAUUCGGAAGAACACCAGUGGCGAAGGCGGCUCACUGGCUUGGUAUUGACGCUGAGGUGCGAAAGCGUGGGGAGCAAACAGGAUUAGAUACCCCCGUAGUCCCUGUCUCUUAUAC
rnacentral:rRNA from 1 species